GAGUCUGGGAGCUAUGAUCCCCCGCCACCAGAGGAAUGCUCAACAUGUGAACCAUAUGUUCCCACAUUUGAUCGCUGUGAUUGCUUUGUAAAUGAAUACGCGAAUGAUGAAAACUGUUUGCAACAUGCGUUGGAGAGUGUCCCGCAACUGCUGGAAAUUGGAAAGAAAUUGAUCUGUAAGCACAGAAGGAACGAGUUGGAUAAAAGAUUUGAAUACUACGAAGCAUUUG